GUGCAGAAGUCAACCAAAGAGCCUUCAAGAACUUCUCUAAAAGAUUUGCCCAAGAGAGCCCAUAAAUGAGCCACAUUCAUUUCUGCCGUGAUGCCAGGCGCCAUGAAGACCCAUUCCCAAGGAGAAAGUAAGGCAAUUGAUAAGUAGUUCUCCAAACCGGAAAUGGGGAGAGGGGCCUGGAGCGGAGGGGGUACAACUGAGGCUGCCAAGAACUCUGCAGCAGAAACCAUCCUCCUGAGUUUCACUGCAAAAGCAGCAACUUUCAGAACAAAUGGAGGGAGCCCUCUACUGGCAAGUCGUCACUCUGCGAGGAAAGGGCCUGAUGCUGGAGCUUCGGUGUCAGCCAGUCCUUGGGGGCUGUUUCCUCCUUUUUCAGGCAGCAAACAUGGAAUGAAGAAUUUCAUGCAAUUUGAUUUUUGACAAGAAAGAGGUAGUACCUUCCAUCUAUCUCGGAGAGCACGCACCCUCUUAGGACAAGCAUACACGUGUUUCCUCACCAGCCCUGGAGGACACAGAACCACUACGAGACCAACAUUUUGUGCUGCCAACAAGCCAUUCAGUGUCCCUGGAGCACUGACCUGCAAAUGUUCCAGAUGCAAAACCACUUCAGAAGGAGAACGAGAAACUCCAGAGAGAUGACAGGAUGGUGACAAGGAAGAGCAGCAUUGCAUUAUCCUCCUGUUUCUGAGAAUUUCUGGAUAUUGUUAAACAAAAGUUUGGAGAAGUUAAACCGACAGGAAAUAACAUGUGUGUUGAGUUAUAAGGUGGCAAAUGUUGUGAAAUCUGUUUUCAGAAAAGGCCAACUGGGUGAGAGUGUGCCGAUGUGACAAGAAGUCCACCUCUCAGCACCAUCUCAGCUGAUGGAAGAUUCUUUCCUUUCCUUCCUCAUUCCCACGGGCUUGGGAGUAAUUACCCAGACACUUUGAAAAGAAUGUCACAAAGACUCUUCAUAUCCCUGGCUUUAAAGAAUGUUCUGCUCUUGAAUAAACCAUUUUUGCCCUAUUCAUCUUGGAACCAAGGCAGCCAGUCAAAUCCAAGAGGUUUCAACAAAUCACAGACUCUCUUUGGAAAUGCAGAGAGCACAGUGGGGAUAUAUCCCCAGAAAUGAUGGGCCGGAACAGGGAGAGGGAACACGGGGC
rnacentral:lncRNA from 1 species